rnacentral:ncRNA from 2 species
AAGCUCCCCUCACGCAACGGUCCCUCAUUGGAGGGUUCACAAGGGAACAGGGUGCGGCCUCAUCCGCCAAAGCCCUGGCUGCCCCCGCAACUGUGAGCGGUGAGCUGCAUGCCAAAAGCCACUGGGACCAAUCCUGGGAAGGCGGCAUGAGGCGAUGAUCCGCGAGCCAGGAGACCUGCCGUGCGUAUCGAUGAGGG